AACGAGGCCGACCUGCGGCUGAGUUACCUGCGGAGGGAUCAUUACUGAGUUUUCAACUCUCCAAACCAUGUGAACUUACCACUGUUGCCUCGGUGGACUGGUGCUGUGCUCCCUCUCGGGGGGGUGCGGUGCUGCCGCCGGCGGACAAACUAAACUCUUGUUAAUUUUUGGCAUUCUGAAUCAAAUCAAGAAAUAAGUUAAAACUUUCAGCAAUGGAUCU
rnacentral:misc_RNA from 1 species